UGUAGGGUAAGCUGGUCCACAUUACAGCCUAACUAAGGCUGUGAUAGGGUCGGAGGUGACCCAGUUGGGGGCGGGCACUAAUGUCCGCGGAGGUUCGAUUCCUUCCCCUCCGC
rnacentral:tRNA from 1 species